rnacentral:rRNA from 1 species
UGGGGAAUAUUGCACAAUGGGCGGAAGCCUGAUGCAGCGACGCCGCGUGGGGGAUGACGGCCUUCGGGUUGUAAACCUCUUUCGACCCUGACGAAGCGCAAGUGACGGUAGGGGUAGAAGAAGCGCCGGCCAACUACGUGCCAGCAGCCGCGGUAAGACGUAGGGCGCAAGCGUUGUCCGGAUUUAUUGGGCGUAAAGAGCUCGUAGGCGGCUCGUUGCGUCGGCUGUGAAAACCCGCAGCUUAACUGUGGGCCUGCAGCCGAUACGGGCGGGCUGGAGUUCGGUAGGGGAGACUGGAAUUCCUGGUGUAGCGGUGAAAUGCGCAGAUAUCAGGAGGAACACCGGUGGCGAAGGCGGGUCUCUGGGCCGAUACUGACGCUGAGGAGCGAAAGCGUGGGGAGCGAACAG